GAAAAUCCGGCCCGAACUUCGUGCCAAUUUCAGCCUGGGUUGCAAGAUGUACCUACUUCAGAAAGAUAUGACAAAUUCUGGCGACGAGGAUGGGCUAUCCUAACCUGUAGGUACCCGAGUCUAAACUUAGUUACUACCAACAAUGUUGUAUACUCCAUCUGGAAGGAUGGCAGCAAUAAUCGGAAAAGUGGACGAGUUCGAUGAAGGAAAGGAGACCUUCAGGCUUCACGUUUUACUUAGAGCGGGUGGAACAGUUCUUCAUCGCUAAUGACAUCAGAGACGCAAACGCAGUGAGUGUUUUUCUGACCAUUAUUGGACCGAAAUCAUACUCGUUUUUGAAGUCCAUGGUGUCACCAGACAAAGUGAGUGAUAAAUCACUGGAUGAACUGAAAAACUUGCUGAAAGAUCUCUACUCGUCACAACCGCUGACAAUUGCAGAGCACUUCAAAUUCCACAAGAAAGACCAGAAACCAGGGGAAUCUGUGAAUCAGUAUGUAGUCGAACUGAAACGCCUGGCAACUACUGUAAGGGAAAGAAUUCCAUAUACGAAGUUCACUUUUUUAUUCUUUCCCUUAUAAGUUUGGGAAUUUCCCGAAAGAUGUCCUUCGCGAUAGAUUAGUGUGUGGGCUAAUCAACACUACCAAAAGAAGCUACUGACGGAGAAAGAACUGUUUUAAAAAGGCACUGCAACUUGCGAUUGCAUUUGAAAUGGCAAACAAGCAAGCCCAGGAGCUGCAACCCAAAGCCAAUCUGGAAGUCAAAAAGGUGACUACUUCAAAACCCAAACUGAGCUUCAGUCAUCAGAAGAAGUCGGCAACCACUGGAAGUCAUGCAAGUCGUGGUUCAAAAUUAAUGCUGAACCAGGAUAGUGGGAACUGCUACCGAUGCUUGGGUCAACACUCCCCAAGAGAAUGCCCCUUCAAGCAGGCAACUUGUUAUUGCUGCAAAAAAGUGAGUCAUAUCUCAAAGGCAUACAGAAAAAACGGUAUCUUUAAGGAGGGUAAACCACCAAACCUUUGAAGCGCCUAGCCACCAACACCAACAGUGAUGAAUCAGAUUAUCUGGUUUAUACCAGCAGUUCUGUCAGCUCACCUGCUAAUGGGAUCACUACCACCGUUGAUCUGGCAGGAUCACCAAUUAAGAUGGAGCUGGACACUGGUGCAGCAGUAUCCAUCAUAUCUGAGGAAACCUACCACCAACAGCUUGAGAGCUGGCCACUGGAGCCAUCAACAGUAAAACUGAAAUCCUAUGGAGGAGAACCCAUCGCAGUACGGGGGAAGCUGAUGGCACCAGUAACUUACGAGCGUCAGACACACAAACUGCCACUGUAUGUUGUCGAGGGAGACAAACCAGCCUUGUUGGGUCGCAACUGGUUGGACAAAUCAGGGUAAACUGGCCAAAAAUCUUCAGAGUGCAGGACAAGGACUACCCACGUGUCAGUCCAGCCAAGGACAUGGCAGGACUGAAAGAACAGUACAAAACGAUUAUGUACAAGAAGAGAUGCCAUCAUUAGAGAAAAGUGAUCUUUACUUUCAGCUCUUAUUGGAGACAAAUUGCAUCUCACCAUGUGAUGAACUUUUCACGCUGUUUGUAUUGAAUGACUUUGAUUGCGAGAAUUUUCAAAUGAAGAUGUGUUUCCCCAGGGAAGGAUUUCCCCGAAUGUUUACACAUUAUGGGCCUAAAGUGGAUUUUGGUUGACUUUGAUAAUCGGGCCACAAUCACUGCUGCUUCUCAUGGCCAAGGCAUUUGCUACGGUUUUGAGAUUAUGGAGCAGUUUGAAUCUCCAAAUGUUCCUUUCACUCUGUUGCUACCCGUUUUUCAACCACUCCUGCAAUCGUUCUUUAUGACAACGUUUGCCACUUGCACUCAUAUUGUCUUAACCGAGAACCUCGCCAUUUUCGAAACACAAAGUUCCUCAUCGACCGUUUGCACUGGCCUAAUCAUACAGCAUGUUCAAGUGGAUAUAGACUUGAUGCUUACCCACAGUAUAAGAUGCUGAACAGUCAAGUUGCAGAGCAAAUGAAUGCAAGUCUCCAGCGUAUCAAGGUGCAGAUUUCAUACAUGAAACAGGACAACUUUCUAUGGCACUGUCGAUUAUUGAUGUGGUGGAGAAACUCAAAAAAACUGAGUCCGAAGUAAAAGAAGUUUAUCUUCUGUAUCAAAGUAUAGUCCACCUGAAAUUUGUCAAUGUU